UACGGAGGAUCCGAGCGUUAUCCGGAAUCAUUGGGUUUAAAGGGUCCGUAGGUGGGCCGGUCAGUCAGAGGUGAAAUCCUGCAGCUCAACUGUAGAACUGCCUUUGAUACUGCUGGCCUUGAAUCGUUGUGAAGUGGUUGGAAUAUGUAGUGUAGCGGUGAAAUGCAUAGAUAUUACAUAGAAUACCGAUUGCGAAGGCAGAUCACUAACAACGUAUUGACACUGAUGGACGAAAGCGUGGGGAGCGAACGGG
rnacentral:rRNA from 1 species